AACGAACGCUGGCGGCAGGCCUAACACAUGCAAGUUGAACGCCCGUAGCAAUACGGGAGUGGCAGACGGGUGAGUAACGCGUGGGAACGUGCCCUUCGGUUUGGAAUAACUCAGGGAACUUGAGCUAAUACCAAAUACGUCCGUAAGGAGAAAGAUUUAUCGCCGAAGGAUCGGCCCGCGUCGGAUUAGCUAGUUGGUGAGGUAACGGCCCACCAAGGCGACGAUCCGUAGCUGGUCUGAGAGGAUGAUCAGCCACACUGGGACUGA
rnacentral:rRNA from 1 species